rnacentral:lncRNA from 1 species
AAAAUAUACUAGAUAGUAUUGAUAUGAUGUUACGAGAAGGCAAUGUCAGUUUUUAAUCUUCAUUUUGAAAAUCCUUGAUUUGCUGAUAAACACCAAUGUAAUUGUCAUAGACAUAGAUCUUUUCUCCAUGCCCAUUAAAAACAACAGGGCCAAAUGAGAAUUAUCCAACUCUUUUACUUUCUGUGUGCUCACCCACAAUUUCCAAAUUUAUUCUAAUUAUUCAUUAGAUGACUAUAAUCCAGACUCUCCCAAUGCCAAACUCAUUUGGCUUCUGAGUGAGGUGUAAAAAAAUCCACACGUAAUACAAAAGCCCUGUCUAAAAAUUAUAAACUAAGCCACACUUGCUGCAAACAGGCUGACGCUAGUUUCGUCUAACUGGCAGAGUAUGUCUUUACCUAAGCAAGGAUCUAUCCCAGUCCAUAAAAUUAUCCAUGUGUGUAACUGCUGAUGGGGUUAGAACAGCGGAGUCAAAUGACUUAUAAAUGGAGCUCACAGAUGGCAAAAUUGUUCAAAGAAGAUUCUUCUGAUACACUGGUGUGGUGCUGACUCUGAAGUACGCGGAGAACACUGCUCAAACUAAUGUGCCAUGGGACUGCUGGAGCAUUGGGAAGACUAACCCAGAGGAGGGAAUUACACUGUAUUAGGCCUCCACCUCGGUUUGCCAGCGGGAUUCAAGACUAAAACCUGAAAGGUCUUCU